CGUGUCCCAGCGGUACAUCAUAGAUGUUCCUGCAACAAGGAAGCAGAGUGACUUCAAACUCUUCCUUGCAAAUGAUGAGAACAAGACACAACUCUGUAAACUGCUACUUGAGGUGUCGGUCAGCAAAGCAUCUGCAUCACGGCUGGAGAAAUGUGGAACAGCAGUGGUAGUCGUUGAAGGCAAAUCAUAUCAGUUGGAGUCAUCGGGUGGCAAUGUGAGCACAUGUGAGAUACCUCAGGUGGAGUCAACCCAGGAACAGACUGACACCCAGAUUGUUCUGCACCUGCUGUAUGCCGCUCAACUGGGGCACAAGGUGGCUGUGAAAACUUGGUGAUCAGUGGUCUGUGGAGCCAGAUGUGGUGGAGGACAUCGAGGCAUUUAGAUUGUGUAAUGUAUGGCCAGGCCCGUGAAAAAUCUGUGAACAACAUGCGCAGCAUCAUAGUGAAAAAAAAUGAUUGGAGAGGAUGAGACCACCAGAUCCAAGGUGGAUCUGUCCCAGCUCCUGCACUGCAGAGACAACCUGGUCCCACAGAUCAACCGUGUCAACCACCGUCUGGCCAUCUACAAGAGAGCAGCCACACCGAUAUUCUGGUGUCCCAAGCCCCAUGAUCCUG